rnacentral:lncRNA from 1 species
CAGUGCGAGCCGGGAACUGAUGACCUGAACGACCUGGAGCAUGGUGAGAUCCCUGCUGCUGGGGGUUUUGGGAGAGGCCAGGCUACCUCUCUGAGCUGCUGGCAAGCGAUUCUGAGUUUGGGGCAGAGGGCAUGCCCCCAUGACCUUCCAUGUGGGCUGAUGCGCCCAGCUCUGACCCUACUGAGUCAGCUCCUGUCUGUAUGUUCCCAACUUUAAAAGCCAGGCUCUCACUUUUCCUCUGCCUUUUUGCUUUUCCUGUUUCCUUGCUGAUUCAGGCUGUGGGUAGAGAUAGUUCCUUGUGCCUGUAGGACAGAGGUCCCUGUUUUCCUUGCUGUCUGUCAGGGUAGGGCUGUUCCCAGCUUCUCGAAGGGCCCACAUUCCUUUGUUUGCAGCUUUUCUCUGUCUUCAAACCAGCAAAUGUGACCCAGUCCCUCUCACCUGUGAGUCUCUACUUCUUUGCUCCUCUCUUUCUUCCAACUGGGAAGGGAGUGCCAUUGUAAUUACAAUGGGCCCACCUGGAUGACCCAGGCUAGUCAGUUGCUGUAUCUUCAGGUCAGCUGGUUAGCAGCCUUAAUUCUGUCUGCAGCCUGAAUUCCCUUUAUACAGCAACACAACACUCACAGGUGCCGGGGAUUAGGACCUGGACGCUAUUCUGCCCCAUCUGCUCUCCAUCCUUCCUCCACACACUCUGCCUCUGCUGAAGAUUGGGGUGGGGAAGUUCAGCACAAGAAGUCAGAGUGCUUUGGUUAGACUUGCAGAGAAUGCUCAUGUCAGAGAAAAAGCUACACUGUGGGAAAGUAGAAAGCAGCAGCCCAGGCCGGCGGUUCUACAAGGAGGCUCCCAGGACCAACGGCAUCAGCCCAAUCAGGAACCUGUUAGAAAGACAAAUUAUGGCCCCAUCCAGACCCACUGAAUCACAAACUCUGGGGUGGGGCCCAGCAGUCUU